CUUCGACUGUGUACAGACACACUUUGCCGUCAAGCUUCUAGCUAGAAGGCUUAUAGACGAGGCAAACACUGAUCAUGAUGCGAUUGACGUUAAUUGGAGAAGGAAGGAAGAGCCUCAUGGUUGCAAACGUGAACACUUAGUCAAUGUCUAGACAUAUUUGCAAAUUGACAUUGUGUGGUUGAUACUGCACUUGGUAAGAGGAUGAAAUCCAUGCAGUUGCAGGCAUAAGUGCUUGCACGACUGUACAAAUGCAGUCACUGGCUCUGGUCUCACCUGUUUGCUGCUGCUACUUGUCAAUCGCUGAUCGUUCAGCUGGCGUCUCGACCUUUUUCAAACGACUUCAACGUUAUUGCAGCUCUUUGCGGCGUCUUUCCAAGCACUGCAUCCACACUUCAUUCCCGGUGUUAUGACAUCAGAGCGCUUACUAAUUCUAAAGAGUUCGAGGCGUUGCUUUUGUAUUCACAAGCAUGCAGCGGCGGAUGCGAUCAACCAUUUGCUGCGUGAGCUCCAACGACUAGACAACCUGCCAUGCUUGAAACAGUCGCAACAGAUCACGAUCAGAUGGCUAGAUCCAACAGUACCAACCGUGUUCCUGGAGAGCAUGCCAAUCAACCGAUGCUUCCCCUGUGGGUCACCCCAACUAUCUUGAUCGUCUGUAUUGCUUGUGGAUUAGUCCUCAUUUCAUGUUUACGUCGACAAUGGAAAAGAAACGGCAAGUUGCGAAGUCCCGAGGUUGCUGGUCAGACCGUCCUAUUGAGACCGGUAGAAAUCCGUACGAAAGCUCAACGGCCUUGGCAGCAAAUCGAACUCGAGAAGUUAAUGUUUUCAAACGGCGGCUCCCGUACAAUCGACUCUUUUCCAAAUCUUGGAAUGCAGCAUGAGAUCAACACGGAGAGCGUCUACCAUGCAGAUAUGUCGUCCGCACAUUCUUCUCCUUGCGUGUCUCCAAAACGUGCGGUGGCCUACAGAGCGUGGCAAAGUGAGAGAUCGGCCUCCGACUUUGGCCUAAAGGGAAGAAGCGGGCUCACAGAGACCCCGAUGGGGUCUCCGCCAGCAAGAAAGCUGAAAAGAACGCAAACGAUAGAAACCCCGAGCGCAUGGAAACCCAGCGUGCAGCCUUUUUUCAGGGAUGAUAAUUUGUUGCCUCGUUCUCAGUCUCUGCAAUCUUUAGUUCUCGACUACUCGCAUUGCUCUCUAUCCCGUCAGCGGAGCGACACCGAUUUGAGACGCUUGGCCAUGCAGAAUCUCAGCAGCCACCCGCACCAGCAAGGGUCACUGGAAACAUCAGCUCAUCAGACUGUAGAGAAAAGGGAUGGAAAUUUUAUCGAGUUUGAAGCUCAGUACGACUCACACGGCAUGCGGUUGGUCGUCGGCCUUAGCAAGUGUUACUGUAAUAGAGUAAAGCGGAGCAAAGGAGGUAAGAAAGAUGGUGCUCCUGUCACCAGUUUGUUCGCAACCGUUUGUCUUCUGCCCGACUAUCGGGUCAAAUAUCAGACGAGGAUACACUACGAUGAGAUACAUCCGCAAUUCAAUGAACAGUUUACGUUCAGCGAUGUGACUCUGCCUGCUCUGCCUAAACGGCGCAUUUUUGUGGCUGUAUACAACAAUGAGGGAAAGACACAGAAGCUGGUGGGUGCGUGUGAUGUGUCUCUUCGAGAGGUGAGCGUCACUGGUAGACCGACGGCUUUCUAUGAAGAACUUUUGUCGACUAAAAAGUCGAAACUGAACUUUGAUCCCAAAAAGCUAGCAGUGGUGGCCACAGGGAGAGGUGACAUCCUGAUUUCUCUAGUCUACAUGGACUACACUAACAAACUCAACGUAAUCAUUAUGAAAGCAAGAGACCUUCACCAUCCAGACACAAUCGGAUUAUUUGAUUCUUCUUGCGACGUUCAGCUUCUUGUCACCAGAGUGAAAUUCGAGCACAAAAAGACGACCGUCCGCAAACGUACAAAAAACCCCGUAUGGAACGAAGUAUUUCAAUUUGACGUUGCAGGGAGGGACCUAGCAGACUGCAGCAUUGCUGUCGUUGUCAACGCUACAGACAGGCUCCAACGUUCGUAUGUCGUUGGAAGAGUGGAGAUCGGCUGCAGAGGAGGCGCAGUAGCACAGAAACAGUGGCAAACGCUCAUCGACAAUCCGCGACGGCAAUCAGCUGAGUGGCACGAGAUCAGAAAUUGAAUCAUCCGAGUGUUGACACGCCCACUUGAACUUCCGUUCUAACUGCGCAAUUGUGAGGCAAUUUUCUCUAGUCUUAGCGGAUGUUGAGACGGUGUACAUAGGAGCUUGUGAAGUUAGCUAUCACUGGUUUCCACGUGUACAACAAUGGCUUCGCUCAGCGCUCGUUUGGCCGACACCGAGAAACAGAUGGAAACGACGAUUAGGGAAGUACGAGUGAAAAUGGCGACGAUGAGACAACACGAUCUCGAUAUGCACAAACGGUUAGAAGAUAUGAGACGUGCAAUCCAAGAUCUUAAUAUAGAAGUGAUGAGUCGCUUGGGAGGUGACAGAAGCCGUCAAGGAAGCCUAUGUCGUCCUGCAACCGAUCGUUCGUCCGUAAUUAGUUCUAACAAAUUGCCCAAGAUUGAUACGAAACUUUCAUCACCUUUGGAUGAAAAUUCAAUUCCAACUAUUUCUUUCAGUGUAGCCACACCUCCCUUAUUAAGGAGAGGACACUCGAAGGGUUCAGAAGACGUUGUCAGUGAGUCGAGUCUUCUUUCAGAAUCUGGUGGUGAAGAUGUACCGGACCAUGUACCCCCUAUGUCUCCUCUCCUUUCUGAUGUUGUCAGCAUUAGAAGUGCAGUAAGUGAGGGAGCAUUGUCUCAUUCUCGAUAUCGACACAGCAUGAUACUCGAAGGAGAGAAGGUAACUCUCAGACGUGAAAGGAGUCACUCUAUUGAUUUAAAGCCAAAUUCAGCUUCUGAGCCGAGGAAAAGAUCAUCUACAAUGAUUUUCUCUAGCAAACAAACUUCUGAGGCAAACAGUACACCUACAUCAACUAGAAAGGGACUAUUGAAAGCUUUAAAGUUAUCCUGGUUUAAGAAGACUUCGUCUAGUGAUAGCAAGAAAAGGAAGCAUUCAGUCGAUGAAGGAAAGGUUUCUCACUGACUAUAAUAGCACAUCCAGGAUACGAGGACGUAAAUAGAACUGGAGUCAAUCUAACUGUAUUGAGUAUCAUUUGAAUGUGUCUCUAGAAGUAUUUUGAAACAGCUCGUGGAUACUUAGUUAGUCGAUUUUGCUGAUCACUUUUUGAUGUAAACUCUGUACAGAUGCUUGUAAUGGACAUUGCUUACCAACAUGUACUGUGCGAUAUAAUUGCACUUGAUAAAAGAGCCUCAUGACACUACAUAGCUAAAAACUUUCAAAUGCAAUGACAUUAUUUUUAGAAUUAG